AUUGAACGCUGGCGGCAUGCCUUACACAUGCAAGUCGAACGGUAGGGGGAGCAAUCCCCUGAGAGUGGCGAACGGGUGAGUAAAGCAUCGGAACGUGCCCAGCUGUGGGGGAUAACUACUCGAAAGAGUGGCUAAUACCGCAUACGACCUGAGGGGGAAAGCGGGGGACCGAAAGGCCUCGCGCAGUUGGAGCGGCCGAUGUCAGAUUAGCUAGUUGGGGGGGUAAAGGCCCACCAAGGCGACGAUCUGUAGAUGGUCUGAGAGGACGACCAGCCACACUGGGACUGGGACACGGCCCAGACUCCUACGGGAGGCAGCAGUGGGGAAUUUUGGACAAUGGGCGCAAGCCUGAUCCAGCCAUGCCGCGUGCAGGAAGAAGGCCUUCGGGUUGUAAACUGCUUUUGUCAGGGAAGAAAUCCCUUGGGUUAAUACCUCGGGGGGAUGACGGUACCUGAAGAAUAAGCACCGGCUAACUACGUGCCAGCAGCCGCCGUAAUAC
rnacentral:rRNA from 1 species